UAAGUGCAUCCCACACAUAUAUACACACACCCCACAUCUUUUCUAUCCACUCGUCUGUCAGUGGGUCUAGGUGGCUUCCAUGUCCUGGCUCUUGUGAACAGUGCUGCAGUGAACGUUGGGGUGCCUGUGUCCUUUUGAAUCGUGGUUUCUCAGGGUGUGUGCCCAGGAGUGGGAUUGCUGGGUUGUAUGGCAGUUCUACUUUCAGCUUUUUUAGGAACCUCCGUACUUCCCCACAGUGGCUGAAUCAACUUACAUUCCCACCAACAGAGCCCGGGAGUUAGUUCCCUUGUCCUUGCACCCUUUCCAGCACUUGUUUGUAGGCUGUUUCGGCGAUGGCCGUCCUGAGCUUGUGAGGCGCCUCACUGUAGUUCGGUUUGCAUUCCUCUGACAGCUAGUGGUGCUGGACAUCUUUUCAUGUGCCCCUGGGGCAUCUGUCUGUCUUCUUUGGGGAAAUGUCUGUUUACGUCUUGGGUCCAUUUUUUGAUUGGGCUGUUUACUGCAGGGAGAUCACCUGCUCAUUUUAGUGAUGGAGAAGCUGAAGCUGAGAAAUCUGCCCAAACCUCAGCAGUGAGAGGGAUGGGGCUGCCGCUGGAACGGGCCUCUCAGGUCCCACCCCUGUGUUCACCACCCCGUGAGCUGUCUGCUGUGAAGACGCACAUCCAGGAGCACACACAGAAGGACCUGCAAGGUCCCCAGCAUCCGCGCGGUGCGUCUUUGGGCCCGAGGACCAGCUGGCUCGGCAUAGCCCAGGCCGAUCUCGGGACGAGAAGCUGGGGUAAGCGGUGGAGGAUCCCUCCUGGGUCCACUGCGUGGGCGACGUGCCGGUGCAAGCGCCGCCUCAUCCGGGGAAGGUCGAUCGAGGCCGCGCCACGCUGGACUGGGGGUGGAUGCGAAUGCACCUUCGGAUGCUCUGGUCCCCAGCCCUUCCGGACCGAGGUUCCCCUCACUCCGCGGGAAUCGGGGACCGCGGGAGCUGGGGUGGCUGAAAGAACAGGGUAGCCUCCUUGGCAAAGACCGCGGGGGAGGAGACUCCCUGGCGAGGGAAGCGAGCGCUGCCGAGGCCGCCGGUCCCUUUAAGAGGCCGGGCUGGCUCUGCGGCGAUCCCACCUGACCGCCUGCCUGGUGCAGUUCUGCGGGCCGUGUCCCCGGGAGAAGGAUCGGAGCCGGGCCGGGCCACAGGACCCGGCGCAGGGGAGGGAGGGGUCCAGUCCGGAGCUGGGCGGGGCCUCCGGUUCCCGGAGCGCCGCA
rnacentral:lncRNA from 1 species